UACGUAUGGACCAAGCGUUGUCCGGAAUCAUUGGGCGUAAAGGGUACGUAGGCGGCUUAGUAAGUUAAAAGUGAAAGGCAUUAGCUCAACUAAUGAAAGCUUUUAAUACUGCCAGACUUGAGAGAUUGAGGGGAAAGUGGAAUUCCUAGUGUAGCGGUGAAAUGCGCAGAUAUUAGGAGGAAUACCAGUGGCGAAGGCGACUAUCUGGAAAUCAUCAGACGCUGAGGCACGAAAGCGUGGGUAGCAAACAGG
rnacentral:rRNA from 1 species